rnacentral:rRNA from 1 species
UUGGUCAAUGGCCGAAAGGCUGAACCAGUAACUUGGAAGAAUGUAAAUGUAUUUGUAUAAAUACAAUAGCGAUUAAUUCGCAUAAAAUUCUAAAUAGGUUGUAUAUAAUGACAUAAUCUAUUUAUAAGUCUUGACCAAACUACGUGCCAGCAGUCGCGGUAAUACGUAGAAGGCUAGUGUUAGUUAUCUUUAUUGGGUUUAAAGGGUAUGUAGACGGUAAAUUAAACUUUAAAAGAGUACUUUUUUACUAGAGUUAUAUAUGAGAAGGAAGAAUUUCUGGAGUAGAGAUAAAAUUUUUUGAUACCAGGAGGACUGUCAACGGCGAAGGCGUCCUUCUAUGUAAUAACUGACGUUGAGAGACGAAGGCUUGGGUAGCAAACAGGAUUAGAUACCCUAAUAGUCCAAGCAGACAAUGAUGAAUGUCAUACAUUAGAGAAGAUUUAAUGUAUAAACGAAAGUGUAAGCAUUCCACCUCAAGAGUACUAUGGCAACAUAUAAACUGAAAUCAUUAGACCGGUUCUGAAACCAGUAGUGAAGUAU